GCUGGCCCAUCCAUGAAGCCGAUUCAGCUUGAAGAAUUGGCUGGCUCAUCCAUGAAGCCGGUUCACCUCGAAGAAAUGGCUGGCCCCUCCAUGAAGCCGGUUGAGCUCGAAGAAUUGGAUCCCAUGGGUGAUGUUGACAAGCAGAGGCUAAAGUGGGAAACCAUCAAUGAGAACCAGCAGGUGUGGGAUGCCCUUGAUGAGCAACGAAAAUUGAGAAAGAAAGAGGAGAGGAAGCAGAGACAAGAGGAGAGAAAACAUAAGCAAGAAGAAAGGAGGCAUAAGCAAGAAGAGAGGAGGCUAAAGCAAGAGUAAAACAAAAAGAUUAAGUUGGAGGUGGCUGCAAGGAGGAAAGAGCUACAAGAUAGGAAGAAGAAGCAAGCGAAUGAGCUACAGGAUAUGAAGAAGAAGUCAAAGAUGAUCAGAGCAGAAGGAGGAGGUUCUCCUUGCGGAGUGACCAGGUCUCCUGGAGUGAAUAUGCUGAGGUCUCGUCUUGGAGUUCUUGCAAAUGUGGCAGCUUCAAAAAGAGGGAGGUCGCUGUCAGAUAUGGA